AUGAACGCUGGCGGCGUGCUUAACACAUGCAAGUCGAACGAAGCACUUUAACCUGAUUCUUCGGAUGAAGGUUUUUGUGACUGAGUGGCGGACGGGUGAGUAACGCGUGGGUAACCUGCCUCAUACAGGGGGAUAACAGUUAGAAAUGACUGCUAAUACCGCAUAAGACCACGGAGCCGCAUGGCUCAGUGGGAAAAACUCCGGUGGUAUGAGAUGGACCCGCGUCUGAUUAGGUAGUUGGUGGGGUAACGGCCUACCAAGCCAACGAUCAGUAGCCGACCUGAGAGGGUGACCGGCCACAUUGGGACUGAGACACGGCCCAAACUCCUACGGGAGGCAGCAGUGGGGAAUAUUGCACAAUGGGGGAAACCCUGAUGCAGCGACGCCGCGUGAGCGAAGAAGUAUUUCGGUAUGUAAAGCUCUAUCAGCAGGGAAGAAAAUGACGGUACCUGACUAAGAAGCACCGGCUAAAUACGUGCCAGCAGCCGCGGUAAUACGUAUGGUGCAAGCGUUAUCCGGAUUUACUGGGUGUAAAGGGAGCGUAGACGGCUGUGUAAGUCUGAAGUGAAAGCCCGGGGCUCAACCCCGGGACUGCUUUGGAAACUAUGCAGCUAGAGUGUCGGAGAGGUAAGUGGAAUUCCCAGUGUAGCGGUGAAAUGCGUAGAUAUUGGGAGGAACACCAGUGGCGAAGGCGGCCUGCUGGGCUUUAACUGACGCUGAGGCACGAAAGCGUGGGUAGCAAACAGGAUUAGAUACCCUGGUAGUCCACGCAGUAAACGAUGAUAACUCGUUGUCGGCGAUACACAGUCGGUGACUAAGCGAAAGCGAUAAGUUAUCCACCUGGGGAGUACGUUCGCAAGAAUGAAACUCAAAGGAAUUGACGGGGACCCGCACAAGCGGUGGAGCAUGUGGUUUAAUUCGAAGCAACGCGAAGAACCUUACCUGCUCUUGACAUCCCGGUGACCGGCAUGUAAUGAUGCCUUUUCUUCGGAACACCGGUGACAGGUGGUGCAUGGUUGUCGUCAGCUCGUGUCGUGAGAUGUUGGGUUAAGUCCCGCAACGAGCGCAACCCUUAUCUUCAGUAGCCAGCAAUUUGGAUGGGCACUCUGGAGAGACUGCCAGGGAUAACCUGGAGGAAGGUGGGGAUGACGUCAAAUCAUCAUGCCCCUUAUGAGCAGGGCUACACACGUGCUACAAUGGCGUAAACAAAGGGAAGCGAGCCUGCGAGGGUAAGCAAAUCUCAAAAAUAACGUCUCAGUUCGGAUUGUAGUCUGCAACUCGACUACAUGAAGCUGGAAUCGCUAGUAAUCGCGAAUCAGCAUGUCGCGGUGAAUACGUUCCCGGGUCUUGUACACACCGCCCGUCACACCAUGGGAGUUGGUAACGCCCGAAGUCAGUGACCCAACCGUAAGGAGGGAGCUGCCGAAGGUGGGACCGAUAACUGGGGUG
rnacentral:rRNA from 1 species